ACUUUGAAGAGAGAGUUCAAAGGGCGUGAAACCGCUUAGAAUAAAACGGACGGAGCCGUCUGUGGCCCAUCGGAAUCAGUCGAAUCGACGCGUGAAGGCGAGUACGACUCGAAAACGGAACGAAAGUCCGGUCGUCUCGUAGUAGUAACGCUCGUUCGAUGCAUUUCCGAAGGGUAAGCACCGCGACCGAUGUCGAAGGCUAGCGAAGCCGUCGGAUUGAGGUCGAGCUCGUUUCUCGAGUCUCGUUACCAGUCCUUCGGUACGAAUAGAAUUCGCUAGACCCUAGCAUCGAGAAUAACAUAGCGAAUGUCGGUGAACUAUAUGCUCACCCGUUACGAUGGAUGUGCGGCCGUUCGAUCGUCGCCUGCUCGCAGGUUACGGUUAGUAAUCAGGUUCGUAUCUGAAAUCGUCGGUGACAUUUCGACAUUCAGGCGUCCGCGGUGUCCGAGUCGGUCACCCGUCCGACCCGUCUUGAAACACGGACCAAGGAGUCUAACGUAAGCGCGAGCUAAUGGGUGGAAAACCUAUAAGCGAAAUAAAAGUAAAAGCCGUUUCGGACGGCCGAGGUACGAUCCCGAAGAAGAGAGUAUCUUCGGGCGCAGUACCGUCCCGUCCCGACCGCUUGUCGGUAGGGCGGAGAUAGAGUGCAUACGUUGGGACCCGAAAGAUGGUGAACUAUGCCUGAGCAGAGCGAAGCCAGAGGAAACUCUGGUGGAGGUUCGUAGCGGUUCUGACGUGCAAAUCGAUCGUCAGACUUGGGUAUAGGGGCGAAAGACUAAUCGAA
rnacentral:rRNA from 1 species